AGUGAACGCUGGCGGCAGGCCUAACACAUGCAAGUCGAACGGCAGCACAGUAAGAGCUUGCUCUUACGGUUGGCGACUGGCGGACGGGUGACGCAUACAUCGCCAUCUACUUUUUCGUGGGUGACAACGUAGGGCCACUUACGCUAAUACCGAAUACGACCUACGGCAUAAAGCAGGAGUUCUUCGCACCUUUCGCGAUUCUUUGAGCCGAUGUCGGAUUAGCUAGUUGGCGGGGUAAAGGCCCACCAAGGCGACGAUCCGUAGCUGGUCUGAGAGGAUGAUCAGCCACACUGGAACUGAGACACGGUCCAGACUCCUACGGGAGGCAGCAGUGGGGAAUAUUGGACAAUGGGCGCAAGCCUGAUGCAGCCAUACCGCGUGGGUGAAGAAGGCCUUCGGGUUGUAAAGCCCUUUUGUUGGGAAAGAAAAGCAGCAGGUUAAUACCCCGCUGUUCUGACGGUACCCAAAGAAUAAGCAACGGCUAACUUCGUG
rnacentral:rRNA from 1 species